GUAAAGUACAGCGAUAUAUUUGUUUUCUCCUGUCUUCCGAAGUCAACAUGGAAGACUACAUUUCAGCACUUGAACAGUUUUCUAAAGUGAAUUUUCAAUUGAAGCAGGAGAUAAUAACUAAAGGAAGACCAACACCGGAGCUGAAAGGUUUGCUUCAAGACAAUUUGAUGAUUCUCAAACGGAGUAGUAUACAAGAAAAAAGAUAUGUCGAGGACAGACUUGGCUUUGGAUGAACGGAUAUUUUUGUGCAGAAUUGACGGUGCAUGGAUUUCAUUUAUAAGUAAAGAUUUUGUAAUUUUACAUCCAGGAUCUUCAGGAGAAUUAAGCAAAGCCCAAACUCCUUGUUCUCAACAAAGACCUUCUGUAUGGCCAAGAAGAGGAAGGAGUGGCCAUCUUCUCCACAACAUUAAUUUUCUCCCUGAAGAUAAGGUGAUGUAGCCCUGGAGCUGCUGCUGGUACUCCUCCCUGCUCCACCUAACACAUUUGGGAGAAGAGUUUCAGACCCAUCAACCUGGAAGUUCUGAAGGUUUCAUUGAUAUCCAGCCUCUUGGGACAAACCUGGUGGCGCAUCUACAAAAUGCGACAACAUAGAACCCGUAUGUCCUCAUGCAGGGAGACAGGCAAAAAUGCAAAAGUGUCAAUAAAAUACUCCUUGUUUAAUGGCUGAAAUUUUUACUUGUAGUUUGCUUUAAAACAAACUUUUUACAGGAGAUAUAAAGGUGUAGUAACAGAUACUUCUGGAGUUGUAGCUUAAUAAUGAGUUGAAGUGAUUUAAUUAUAUACUUUUGAAAC